CCUCAGUCCGUUGUCGACGUCCGUAGAGCGCACACCGCGAUCACGUAGCCGCCGCUGGAGAGGCAGAAAUAGAUGAAGGCAGUCGCGACCGCGCGGUAUUUCGAGUAGCAUCAGGUGUCUUUCGUCCGGUCCUUUGUUGUCUGUUGUCGAAAUUCAAAGUCACGCGUAAUGUUUAGCUUUUUCAAACGCAAAUCCAAAGAUGACGGGGAUAAGAAAGAAAAGACAAAAGAUAAAGGUCACUUUUCACCUUUUUUGAAACGUAACAGUUCUAACAAGAAGGAAGCGACACCUUCCUCGUCCACUUUAGAGCCUUUACUCUCUGAUUCCAGUUUGACAGUAGCGGCGAUCGACAUCACCAAAGAGGAUGUAGGCCUACCUAGCUCUACAAAUUCUCAGUCACCGUACACCCUCAACACGAGCCACGACUCCCAAAUAGAUAUAGACACACCUACACCAGACAACACUUCCCAUAUCAAAGACGAACAGGAAGAUCUAACAUUGUGUGAUUUGACCAAUAUUUCAGACUCUCUCGAUACAAACCCUGUGAUACGUCAAGGAGAUUUCGCCAAAAGUGAAGAUUCUUUGCUAAGUGACAGUUCCGAAAGAGCCGGUAGUAGUGAUCGAGCAGACAGUGACGUAGUGUUCAAAACCGCGCCCAACACCCCCGUGUUAGCGAAGCAUCUGACUGUUGUGUCUGACGAACUUGUGAUAGACGACCAUAGCCAACCACAGGAAAGUGUCAGGUCUGUAGACUCAAGUCCCGCGGGAAACCCUCCGGUGGAGGAGUUGGGCCUCUCUAGUGCACUUGGUGACAACAAAGAAGAAGAGGCGGCGUCACCUCCAUCAGAACCUGUUGAUAUAGUCCUAGAGUCUACAGACAGUGUGCCGGUACCUGGGGAGAGUGAGCUGAGGAGAUCGGCUGACAUGUGUGAGGAGAUGAGUCAUGGACCUGGAGAGUUAUACGACAUAGCGGAGGAGGAGACGAGUGAGGAAGAGGCAGAUCAAUCCGAGGAGGAAGAGGAGUCCGAGGAUGAGGAUGAGGACGAGGAUGACGACAGCGGCAAUGUCACACAGCCGACCAUCGAGGACGAAUAUCCGGACGAAAUAAUCAAGAAAAACCAGGUGAACAAAGAGACACGGGAGUUGGAGGCUCGACUGAGUGCAAGGGAGACAGAGUCCAACAAGCUUCUGUGUACAAUAGACGAGCUUCAGCGAGACGUGAUGGUCAAGAGCGGCGGCAUGGAGCGUCUGCAAGCAGAAUUGACUGCUGCUUACAAAGAAUCUGAAUUUGUGAAAAAGCGGCUGAAGAAAGUGGAAGAAGAUUUGGAUGUUUUAAGACAAAGGAAUGCAGAACUAACGGAAGAACUGGAGAAAAAGUCAGUGGAGUUAAUUGAUGCGGAAGAUUGUUUUGACUUCAACCACCUACUGGAAGUUGAGAAGCAGGUUAAAGAGUUGACGUUACGUGUGAAGGAGCUAGAAUCCCAGUUAGAACAUCUUCGACAAGAAAGGAACCAACUAGAACAAAGAGCUCAAACCCUUGAAACUGAGCGAUUAGAGGAGCGCAGGAUCAUUCAGGAGGCGUUAGACAGUGCAUUAGCUGAAAAGCAGUCAAUACAAACAAAAUUUGAAAAAGACUUUGAGAGACUGAGGACAGUAAACACAGACAGGGAACAACAACUUCUGGACGACUUUGAGUGGAAACUGAGGGAAGUGAACCAAGCAUGCAAAAAGAGGCUGGAUGAAAAGGAAAACUCUUGUAAACAGAGAAUCAAAACUAUGGAAGAUAAGCUAAAUGCAGCCGAACAAGAGUUGACUCAGUUGGAGAGAUUGAAGCAGUUCGAGGCGGAGGCGACGAUGUUGAGGGGAUUGAACCUGGAGCAACAACGAGCUCUGAGGUUUGCUGAGAGGGCUAAGGAGGAGCUGCAAGUGAGUGAGAAGGUUCUGCACGAGGAGGUGAGAAAGUUGAAAGAGUUCUUGGACAAGGAGAAGUCUGCACUGACCACCAUGCAGGCAAUUCAUAACAGAGAAAUAGACGAGAAGGAGAGGAAGAUGAGAUUUAGGUUGGAGCAACAAAAGACUGAGCUAAAUAACCAGUGGGAAGAAAAGUUGAAAAAAGAAACAAUAAAACUGAGAGUUGAGUUGGAUCAAGUCAAUCGAGAUGAGAAGCGAUUGGUAUUGCAAUCUGCAAGGCUGGAAAAAGAGGCAGAACUUCAGAAGGCCAAGGAGCUAUGGGAACAUCAGUUUAAGGAGCUUCAAAACCAGAUUGAAGCUCUGAAACAAAAGAUUCUGGAUGAAGAAGAAGAACAUAAGAACAAAAUUGAAAACAUAAGAACCAGUGCAGAUUGUGAUAUUUUUGAGCUAAGAAGAAAGCUAGAUAGGAUAGAUAUAUCAUAUCAAGACAAAAUUGAAAAACUCCAAAAUGAACACGAAGCAGAAAAAGAGAGGCUGGUGGAGGAGGCGGAGCGCAGACUACAGAGUUGUGAGCAGAGCUGGCAGAUGCAGCUGAGCUCUACUCGGGCCACGCUGGAGCUGGUCAAAGAGCAACUCAAGAGAGAAGCAGCGGAGAGAGAGGAGGCCCUGCAAAACAACCACCGUCGUCAGCUAGAGGAACAAUGGGACCAGCUAGCGCAAGAGAGAGAUGAAAUCAUUGCUGUGAUAGAAGAGAAACAUAAAGCCAAUAUAGAGAAACUGAAAGCUGAAUUAGAGGCGACUUACAAGAGCUGUAACUCCAAAGAGCAAGAGCUAGUUGACAAAAUAUCGAUACUGCAAGAUGAAGACUGUGGGAAAAAACGUCUCAUAGGAGAUUUGACAAAGCAGAACGAAACGCUUGAAGAGAAUAUCAAUGAAAUUAGCAAAAAGUAUAGUGAUCAAAAAGAACAUUUCCAUCAAGCGCAAGAGGAAAUGGAGAAAAAAAUUAACAAACCUCAUCUCUUAAUCCUAGCCUCCCUGAUCCUAUCUCCAGUAAUUUCAUGGCUCUUUUUGGAUUCCCUUUCAUUUGACCUUUUCUUCCUUAUUGUCAGUUUGGCUGCACUGCUUUGCUCAUUGAUUUAACUCGUAACUCAUAAGCAUGUUAUAUUCAUAUCGUUUGAGCAUGUUGAUAGUUUAGUUAAGAUUAUCAAUUACAUAUUUGUGCAAUCAAGCAAUGUCAUAACAGCUUGAUUAGUUGCAAAAAGUAGUAUACGGUGAAGUUUACUUCUUUGCCUCCUUAGAGGGAAAAACUCUUUAGUUAACGUAGAUUUUAUACUUUUUAUACAUGUUAUUUAACACUUAACCACCCACACAAGUAAAGGGAAGGUUGUGUUUGCGCUUGUUUCCUUCUCUCCUCUCACCUCCAGUCUUGUCCCUAUCCUAGACUGCUGGAGCAGACGACGGAGGAGCUGGAUCACUGGCGCACCACGGCUCACCAGCUGCAGAGUCGUCUCACACAGCAGACUAGACAACUUGAGCAGAGCUCGGACAGCAAACUGGUAGAGGAUCUGAG